rnacentral:rRNA from 1 species
AUUGCACGCUGGCGGCAGGCCUAACACAUGCAAGUCGAGCGAGCGGCGGACGGGUGAGUAAUGUAUGGGGACUGCCCGAUAGAGGGGGAUAACUACUGGAAACGGUGGCUAAUACCGAAUACUAUCGGAUAACCCAUAUGGGAUUAGCUAGUAGGUGGGGUAACGGAUCACCUAGGCGACGAUCUCUAGCUGGUCUGAGAGGAUGAUCAGCCACAGUGGGACCAGGACACGGCGCAGACGCCGACGGAGGCAGCAGUGGGGAAGAUUGCACAAUGGGCGCAAGCCUGAUGCAGACAUGCCGCGUGUAUGAAGAGGGCCUUAGGGUUGUAAAGUACUUUCAGCGGGGAGGCGUUACCCGCAGAAGAAGCACCGGCGAACUCCGUGCCAGCAGCCGCGGUAAUUC